rnacentral:rRNA from 1 species
CCCUUAGAUGUUCUGGGCCGCACGCGUGCUACACUGAGUGGAUCAGCGGGUCAGGUUGCGCGAAAGUGUUUCCUAAUCUUUAAAUCCGCUCGUGAUGGGGAUUGACGGUUGCAAUUUUCCGUCAUGAACGAGGAAUACCUUGUAAGCGCGGGUCAUCAUCCCGCGCUUAAUACGUCCCUGCCCUUUGUACACACCGCCCGUCGCUCCUACCGAUUGAGUGGUCCGGUGAGGCUUUGGGAUCUGAGCGGAAAGAGCGUUUCGCUGUUUCUGCCCGGAAAACUCAGUCGAACCUUAUCAUUUAGAGGAAGGAGAAGUCGUAACA